UCUGUGUAAAAUAGGAUACUUCUCAAUACAGAAAAGAUUAGAAUGGUUCUGUGCAAGAAUGACACACAAAUUUGUGAAGCCUUCCAUAUAUCU
rnacentral:snRNA from 1 species